CCACCGCCUCCGCCUCCGUCACAAUUCCCUAUGGGAUUUCAGACACCCCCCGCUUCAGUUGCCGCACCUGGAGAUGGGUCUGGUCAGGACGACACAACACAUUCGUGGGUGAACAAUCUUUUCAGCACGCAUAGUCCAGCCGGAGGAGGUGGCGAUGGAUAUGAGUGAUACUGAUGUAAAACACUUGUUGAAACCUUUCAUGUGAAAGCCUACCCGUCGAAUAAUGUUCAUUUUGGAGUUUGGACAACUAUGUUUAUGUAAACACUUAUUGCAACCAUUUGGAACUAUGUUGUUAUGUUAAAUUUUGUGAAUGUGAAUGCUUAUGUGAUUAUAUUUGUGAAUGUGUAUACUUAUGUGAGUAUAUUUGUUAA